rnacentral:rRNA from 1 species
UACGGGGGGAGCAAGCGUUGUUCGGAUUUACUGGGCGUAAAGGGCGCGUAGGCGGCCACCGCAAGUCAGUUGGGAAAGCUCUGGGCUUAACCCAGAAAGGUCAGCUGAUACUGCGGGGCUAGAGUGCAGAAGGGGGAACUGGAAUUCUCGGUGUAGCGGUGAAAUGCGUAGAUAUCGAGAGGAACACCUGCGGCGAAGGCGGGUUGCUGGGCUGACACUGGAGCUGACAGCGCGAAAGCUAGGGGAGCGAACGGG